rnacentral:rRNA from 1 species
AUUGAACGCUGGCGGCAUGCUUUACACAUGCAAGUCGAACGGCAGCGCGGGCUUCGGCCUGGCGGCGAGUGGCGAACGGGUGAGUAAUACAUCGGAACGUGCCCAGUAGUUGGGGAUAGCUCGGCGAAAGCCGGAUUAAUACCGCAUACGACCUGAGGGUGAAAGCGGGGGAUCUUCGGACCUCGCGCUAUUGGAUCGGCCGAUGGCAUAUUAGCUAGUUGGUUGGGUAAAGGCCUACCAAGGCGACGAUCUGUAGCUGGUCUGAGAGGACGACCAGCCACACUGGGACUGAGACACGGCCCAGACUCCUACGGGAGGCAGCAGUGGGGAAUUUUGGACAAUGGGCGAAAGCCUGAUCCAGCAAUGCCGCGUGUGUGAUGAAGGCCUUCGGGUUGUAAAGCACUUUUGGCGGGAACGAAAAGGACUGUGCCAAUACCACGGUUCGAUGACGGUACCCGCAGAAUAAGCACCGGCUAACUACGUG